CCACAUCCAACCCUUCAAUCGUCUCCCGAAUGCGCCUGACGCCGUCGUCGAGGUCGCCGGUGAAGUCGACCACGACGGUCUUGAUCUGGGUUUUGCCGUACUUGGCCAGGACGGCGUCCGAGACGUCCUUGAGUUUGUCCGGAUUCCGACCUACCAAGAUCAGAUUGAGCCCCUUCCGAGCCAGUUGGAAGGCGAAGGCCUUGCCAAUGCCAUCGGUGGGUCCGGUGACGAGUGCCCAAGAUCCGUACUUUUUGAGAUUCUUGGCAGGUCUAAGGAAAUUG
rnacentral:lncRNA from 1 species